rnacentral:rRNA from 1 species
CAGUAGCCGCGGUAAUACGAAGGGUGCAAGCGUUACUCGGAAUUACUGGGCGUAAAGCGUGCGUAGGUGGUGGUUUAAGUCCGUUGUGAAAGCCCUGGGCUCAACCUGGGAAUUGCAGUGGAUACUGGAUCACUAGAGUGUGGUAGAGGAUAGUGGAAUUUCCGGUGUAGCAGUGAAAUGCGUAGAGAUCGGAAGGAACAUCUGUGGCGAAGGCGACUAUCCGGGCCAACACUGACACUGAGGCACGAAAGCGUGGGGAGCAAACAGGAUUAGAUACCCCCGUAGUCCCUGUCUCUUAUAC